rnacentral:rRNA from 1 species
GACGAACGCUGGCGGCGUGCUUAACACAUGCAAGUCGAACGGAAAGGCCCUGCUUUUGUGGGGUGUUCGAGUGGCGAACGGGUGAGUAACACGUGAGUAACCUGCCCUUGACUUUGGGAUAACUUCAGGAAACUGGGGCUAAUACCGGAUAGGAGCUCCUGCUGCAUGGUGGGGGUUGGAAAGUUUCGGCGGUUGGGGAUGGACUCGCGGCUUAUCAGCUUGUUGGUGGGGUAGUGGCUUACCAAGGCUUUGACGGGUAGCCGGCCUGAGAGGGUGACCGGCCACAUUGGGACUGAGAUACGGCCCAGACUCCUACGGGAGGCAGCAGUGGGGAAUAUUGCACAAUGGGCGGAAGCCUGAUGCAGCAACGCCGCGUGUGGGAUGACGGCCUUCGGGUUGUAAACCGCUUUCGCCUGUGACGAAGCGUGAGUGACGGUAAUGGGUAAAGAAGCACCGGCUAACUACGUG